ensembl:lncRNA TMEM72-AS1 TMEM72 antisense RNA 1
CCAUGCCAGCCACCCUACCUGUGACCCCAUCUGUGGCCCCAGUUAUCAUGGAGUAGAGCCCUUUCUCUGUCUACAAAACCAACUUCCUCGCCCAGCUCAUGGGAACACUUAUUCUGUUGUAUAGAAUGAAGUGUUGCUUGAUUCUAGAAUCAUGCCAUUAAGAACAUUCAUGAUUCAUGAGAGGAGAUCAAAAUAUCAACAUAAACAGGAGUUUGAAAGAAGUUGAUUUCAACCCUUGUGGAUGACUAUGAGAGAUUCAAGGCUUCAGUGGAGAAUGCACCUACAGAUAUGGUGGAAACAGCAAAAGAAAUAGAAUCAGAAGUGGAGCCUGAAGAUUAAACUGAAUUGCUGCAAUCUCAUGAUAAAACUUGAACAGAUGAGGAGUUGCUUCUUACAGGUAUCCACACUGCCUCUGCUACCUGCCCGUUGGUCACUCACUCAUUGUUCUGAUGAUAAGAUCGACAGAUCACAAGAAGGGACAAGGCUCAUCCCAGGAGGAUCCAUGAUGCUUUAUGAAGACAGUCCCAACAGCCCAUCUCUGUCAUCCUCCAGACGUGCCAAGGCUGAAUCAUGGAGCAAACACAGCACAGGCUCAAGCUGAGACCCUGCCAUGUGACCUCCUAGUUCUAUGAAAUACCCUUCAACAAUGCAGAAUUGACAAACCCUCCCAGAACCUGAUAUAGAUACACAUAUUUAUUAUAUAAGUGUCUCAGUAAAGAAACAAUUUUCUGUAGUGCUUAGUAGCAGACUUCUGACUCCAUAAGAUGUUUCUAAGUAAAGGUUUCUUGGUCAAGGAAUUUGGAAAAUGCUCAUAGUGUAUAUGAUUCUAGGAGACUUUGGAAACACAUUAGUGCAUUCGGAAGCCCUGCAGUAGUCUGCCGCAUGACUUAUUCCAGCUUAUCCCUACAUUAUGGAAUGCUUUUGUCACUGAAUACCUUCAGAACGCAUUUUGGGAAAACUUUUAUAUAUUCGUGGCAACCCUGGAGAAAAAACUUAGAGGUAAAGUUCCCUCUCCGAGAGGCCAUAAUAAAUGUGAAAGUGUGGAAAAGAGCCCUCAUCCUCCACCUCCAAGGCUGGUGUUCUUGCCAGGAUACCAUCCUAUCAGUUCUUUCUAAAACUCUCCUGUCCCCAGUGCAAAUACUCUCAUCAUGACAAUGCCUCACUUCAGCAGGCCUUCUCAUGGAGCUGCAGGAGUUCUUUGCAAAGUCCCCCAGCCCUGGUCUAGGAAUUGGGAGUUGCCUCACAGAUGCUUUAUUGUUAUUACUGGUUACAUGUGUGAUAUGUAGCAUACAUAUCAACUACACCUUUAACCAAUAACUUUUACUUAUUUUUUAUUUGGAGAAUGAUAUAUGCUCAUUAAAGAAAAAUUGGGGAAAAAGUUGGUAAAUAAUGAAGAAGAAAAAUUCACUUCAACCUAGAAAUAGCCCAGUGAACAUGCUGGUGUCAAGGGUGUACAUACACAUAUACAUGUUUGCAUGUUUUGGGAACAAUUUGAAACAAUAUGCAUGUUUGUUACAGUUUUGGAACUGUAACAAAAAUGCACAGUUAUAGUUAUUUAUCAUGACCUUCCUGUUUUUCUUGCCAUGAUAGGUUGUGAAGAUGUUUACAUAUCAUUAAACACUCUUUGGGAUCAUACUUUUUUUUUUUUUUUUUGAGAUGGAGUCUCGCUCUGUCACCCAGGCUGGAGUGCAGUGGCGCGAUCUCAGCUCGCUGCAAACUCCGCCUCCCGGAUUCACGCCAUUCGCCUGCCUCAGCCUCCUGAGUAGCUGGGACUACAGGUGCCCACCACCACGCCCGGCUAAUUUUUUGUAUUUUUAGUAGAGAUGGGGUUUUGCUGUGUUAGCCAGGAUGGUCUUGAUCUCCUGACCUCGUAAUCCUCCCGCCUCGGCCUCCUAAGGUGCUGGGAUUACAGGCGUGAGCCACCGCGCCCAGCCGGGAUCAUACUUUUAAUGGCUGCACAAUGCUGCCUUGUAUGAACGUGUGAUGUUUCACUCAGCCAUUGGUGGUAGAGUCAAUGCCACAGGUUCUCCAUACCAUUUCCUCUCUCUGAGCACUUGGUAAGCCUUCAUUUCCAAAUCUCCCCUGCAGUUUUGAGUUCUGGACAAUGGUUGUGGACAGAAGUUAUGGAUGCCACUUCUGUGCCUGGAGUAUCUGUCCCCUCAUCAGCAACUGUUGGUGACAGAACCACAGAUUGGGAGCAGCCUGGAUCUAAAGAAUCACUGCUUGGGAGAACUCUGCUUAGACAUGUCCAGACUACAUCAGACAUUAAGUGAGAAAUGAACCUUUGUGUGCUGAGUACCGAAAUUUCGACGUUUACUUGUUACUGCUGGAUUGCUUAGCAUACACUAACAUGUCAUCACUCUAGUUACAUCUUUGGGUUUGUUUUCAAUUUAUAUUUUAAAAAUAGAGCUUCAGUACACAUAUUAAAGCAUAAUCUUUGUUUAUAUCUCUGACUACUUUCCUCAAAAACAUCCUGCUUUUGGGAAAAUGUGUACCAAUGCAUGCACCCCCCUCUCUGCCACACACAAAGUACUGUAUGAGAAUAACCAUCAGAUCUUGGCCUCAUCACAAUUGUUCAUUGUUCUGAAAAAAACUUUUGCUAAUUUUAUAGGAAGCAAAUAGCAUCUCGUUAUGUUAAUUUGCAUGUUUUUGAUCUCUAAUAGGGUUGAAAACAUUCUUUCCUAAGGUCUUUCCAGGAAAGAGUGUGAGUGUGAUAAGAAAGCUGAAGCUGCGGCCAUAAGCAUAUCCCCACCUCUCUGGCUUCCAUGAGUCUUCUGGCUCCAUAAGGCUUCUUUAAUUGAGCCCUACCCAUGAAGAAAGGUGCCCCUUGCAUCUGUCUUACAAUUAAUUGCCUUUUUAAUAGCCUGGAAGAGUAUGGCUGUGUUUAUACAGAAAUGAAG